GGCGGGGAUGCAUCGCGGCAUCACUAGGAACAACCAUGAGUGUCAUGCUCUUCGGCAGGCUCCUGCAUGGCUUCACCUGGACCAAACCGGCUGGGGUGUCGGCCAUCAAUCUCCGCGAGUCCAAGAACGACCUCUUCAUAGAGAAACCACUAGUGCUACAUGCUGAGCCACGUCUUGCAGCACACCUCUACCCUCUCAUGCACCGUUGAGCAAAUAACGAGCUAUGAAUCACCGAUAAGGCGAGUAUGCUAUUUUCUGGAUGAAUCUAUACUUACUAAUAAAGGAAGGCGAUAUUCUUAUUUUCGUCCCGCUUUGUUUCGUUCCACUUCGAUUGAUUUUCACGUAUGCUAGCUAUUUUGGUUUUGUCCGUUUCCAAUACAAGCGAGCCGGUUUCUUUCAUGCGUCGCUGGAUCGUCCUAGGCUUGUCCAAAGCAUUGGAACAGUACGUGCUAGCCAAACAACCACCCAUCUACUACUGAUUUUGGACUCUUUUUAUCACCAACGAAGGAUGAAAGUGGGUCGGCCAUAUACCUUGGGCAACUCCGUUUGAGUUGUUUCUUCCAGCUCAAGUCCCAGGCAGGGUAGCAUAGCAGCCUAUAAGAGUCUUUUUUAUUUUGGUUCAUCGAUUAAAUAGUGCCACAUAGUUUUCUUACUUUGAAUUCUACAAAUUUAUAUACGCUAGCAAGUUGCCAUGGAAAUCAACAAGCAGCCUCAAAAAACACUAAAAAAAACUCAGAGAGUGAGGUAUGCAAUGAGGACGCAUAUUACGAGGGUGAUCUCUCCGAGAUAUGAGAUUAUGGGCCAAUGAAAGCAAUAAAGACACGAUUAAAGAUCUUUGAUUAUUGGCCAAUGGAACCAGUGAAGACCCAAAUAAAUAUCUGAGAGGUCAAUGAAAGAAAUGAAGACCCGAUUAAAGAUUCAAGAUUAUUAUGGGCCAAUCGAGGAAAUAAAGACCCGAUUAAACCUACAAGCUCAUGUUGAUAUGCAUGGUGCAUAAUUAAAUGACUAGUGGGCUAAACCAUUAUAAUUUACACCAAAGGCGAGAGGCAGAUGGGUGGGGCAGACCAAGGAGGCAUACACGGACAAGGAGGAACUCGCAAUUUCCACACUCAAAACAUAUGACCAGCUCGUCGCCACACUCACGAAACAUGAAAUCAUGGAUGAUGACACGAUUAAAUGUCCGCCAAUGCCCGUGCCGAUAUCGCUACAGUUUUUUUAUUUCUUGCAAUGAGUUUUGAUGAUAAAGACUAAUGUUUGUCCCCCGUUGCAACACACGGGCAUAUGUGCUAGUAAAUAAAGAAAACAAAAGAAAUCGAAAAUAAAAACCUCAAGGAAAAAACCCCAACAGGAAGCCCACCAAGAAAUACCGGAAUAGAAUCAGACCUUGAAAGAGAAAAAAACGGAAAAUCGGCACAACAGAAAUCCCUAUUGGACGCUCAUUGCGUCAUAAUGUCGAGCAAAUGGGUUCGGCUCAGCUGCAGGGCUCCCUGCAGGAAAUAUUGUGCAGGGCCAAUAAGAGACUGCCACUUGUCCUUGUGGGCCAACUCCUCUGAUUAAGAUAGAUUUAAUUUGAUACGAGUAGAGCACGGGGGUGGUGCUGCGAGCAUAGAGGAGCCCGGCGACGUGCGGCCCGCUGGAACACCAACGUGAACGGCAUGUCCCUCCCCGUGGCCGAGAAGGGCCCCGCCGCUAUUCAGGCGGUGCUCGUCCUCCACGGCUUCCUGGAGCUUUGGCGCCACCAGAUGGCCGCACUCAUCGCGCCUCGUCUUCGACCUCCGCGGCUUCGGCGCCGGUCCCUCCUUCGACUAGGCGCCUGCUUUGGACGAUGUUGAGAGGUGGUGAUGCGUGAGAUGUGGUGGUGCAGGUGCGGCCACCCAUGACAAGUCAAGUGCAGCCAUUGUUGGCGCCAUUGUGCUCGCGGCAGUCAGAACUACCUGUAAUAGCGACACAAGUAGUACUGGUGCCGCUAGCUGUGCACGGUUGCACGCUGUGGUUGCGUAAGACGUCCUAGUAGGGACGAAGGUCCACACAGGUCUCUCGUUCACAGAGGAUGUCAUCGAGCGAUGGUGAUAUGCGGGAUGUGGUGGUGCAGUUUGCCACCAUUCAUGUUGAGUUUGAUGUAGCCACUAUUAACAUCCUAGCGUGCAUCGGUUCAUGUCAUCUCCCGCAUUGACGUGAGAACCAUGCCGGCUUGCUGCAGUGGUACAUCAUUCUCCAUGUCAUCGAGGUUGAAAGGCUCAUUCAACUAACUAAUCCUCUCGAAUAACCAUCAAAACUCCUUGCUCGGCACGUUUGAUUUGAUUUACUGUUUGAACUCUCGUCAUGAAACUUGGUUCACUUUAACUGUAAAACAAGAACGUAUGCUCCUGACAAAAAGAAGAAGGUAUGCUAAAAUUAAAUCAGAAGACACAUGUGAUGGCAUGCCACCCCGGUAUCGCUUGAUGCAUACACACACUAGUAGAUGGGAGGCGGAGGUGGUCGCGGAGCAUGACAACAUAGGCGACGGGAUCGACUGGGAUGCCGGAGUCACCGAAGCCACGGAGGUCGGGGACGAGGACCUGAAGGAAAUAUGCCCUAGAGGCAAUAAUAAACUUAUUAUUUAUUUCCUUAAUUCAUGAUAAAUUUUUAUUAUUCAUGCUAGAAUUGUAUUAACCAAAAACUUAGUACAUGUGUGAAUACGUACACAAAACAUAUAGUCCCUAGUAUGCCUCUACUUGACUAGCUCAUUAAUCAAAGAUGGUUAUGUUUCCUAACCAUAGACAUGUGUUGUCAUUUGAUGAACGAGAUCAUAUCAUUAGGAUAAUGAUGCGAUGGACAUGACCCAUCCGUUAGCUUAGCAUUAUGAUCGUGUUAGUUUCAUUGCUACUGCUUUCUUCAUGACUUAUACAAGUUCCUCGGACUAUGAGAUUAUGCAACUCCCGAAUACCGGAGGAACACUUUCUAUGCUACCAGACAUCACAACGUAAAUGGGUGAUUAUAAAGGUGCUCUACAGGUGUCUCCGAAGGUGUUUGUUGGGUUGGCAUAGAUCACCAUUAGGAUUUGUCACUUCGUGUUUCGGAGAGGUAUCUCUGGACCCUCUCGGUAAUACUCAUCACUAUAAGCCUUGCAAGCAUUGUGAGUAAUGAGUUAGUUGUGGGAUGAAGUAUUACAGGACGAGUAAAAAUACUUGCCAGUAACGAGAUUGAACUAGGUAUUGAGAUACCGACGAUCGAAUCUCGGGCAAGUAACAUACCGAUGACAAAGAGAACAAUGUAUGUUGUUAUGCAGUUUGACCGAUAAAGAUCUUCAUAGAAUAUGUAGGAACCAAUAUGAGUAUCCAGGUUCCGCUAUUGGUUAUUGACCGGAGACGUGUCUUGGUCAUGUCUACAUAGUUCUCGAACCUGUAGGGUCCGCACGCUUGACGUUCGAUGCCGAUAGGUAUUAUGACUUUAUGUGUUUUGAUGUACCAAAGGUAGUUCGGAGUCCCGGAUAUGAUCACGGACAUGACGAGGAGUCUCAAAAUGGUCGAGACAUAAAGAUUGAUAUAUUGGACGACUAUGUUUGGACAUCGGAAUGGUUCUGGGUGAGUUCGGGCAUUUACCGGAGUACACUACAAAAAAAAGACACAUCCGUGACAUUUUGGGCCGAAUGAAUUUUUUUUCUGUCAUACAUAUGACACUUCUAUGACGAUAAUUGUGACAAAACCCGGUAUAAUCAUAGAUGUGGUGGGCUCCUACUUCUAUGACAAAAAUCAUGACAGAAAAUGGGCUUUUCGUCCUGGGCGGGCCGGAGACGCAGCUGCAUGACAUUCUUUGACCGUCCAUGAUGGAAAAAACCGUGGUAGAAGCGAGGGCUAGGAAAAUUUCAGGGAGUUCCCGCUUACGGUGGGAGGUCGGGGGGCCGAGCGAUGCGUGUUUCUCUCAUACACGUACGCGCGUGUGUGCGAGGCGUUGACUCUAACUGAACCCGAGCGAGGCGUUGUGCUCUAACUGAACCCGAGCGAUUGCACUGCAGGCUACGCAUUACUGAACCCGAGCGAUCGAUCGAUGGCUGUUAACUGAACCCGAUCGAGCGAUUCCUUCGCUACUGCUGCUAACUGAAGCCGNNNNNNNNNNNNNNNNNNNNNNNNNNNNNNNNNNNNNNNNNNNNNNNNNNNNNNNNNNNNNNNNNNNNNNNNNNNNNNNNNNNNNNNNNNNNNNNNNNNNNNNNNNNNNNNNNNNNNNNNNNNNNNNNNNNNNNNNNNNNNNNNNNNNNNNNNNNNNNNNNNNNNNNNNNNNNNNNNNNNNNNNNNNNNNNNNNNNNNNNNNNNNNNNNNNNNNNNNNNNNNNNNNNNNNNNNNNNNNNNNNNNNNNNNNNNNNNNNNNNNNNNNNNNNNNNNNNNNNNNNNNNNNNNNNNNNNNNNNNNNNNNNNNNNNNNNNNNNNNNNNNNNNNNNNNNNNNNNNNNNNNNNNNNNNNNNNNNNNNNNNNNNNNNNNNNNNNNNNNNNNNNNNNNNNNNNNNNNNNNNNNNNNNNNNNNNNNNNNNNNNNNNNNNNNNNNNNNNNNNNNNNNNNNNNNNNNNNNNNNNNNNNNNNNNNNNNNNNNNNNNNNNNNNNNNNNNNNNNNNNNNNNNNNNNNNNNNNNNNNNNNNNNNNNNNNNNNNNNNNNNNNNNNNNNNNNNNNNNNNNNNNNNNNNNNNNNNNNNNNNNNNNNNNNNNNNNNNNNNNNNNNNNNNNNNNNNNNNNNNNNNNNNNNNNNNNNNNNNNNNNNNNNNNNNNNNNNNNNNNNNNNNNNNNNNNNNNNNNNNNNNNNNNNNNNNNNNNNNNNNNNNNNNNNNNNNNNNNNNNNNNNNNNNNNNNNNNGACCGUAGGAGGUCUGUUUUCUCCGUUUUGCGGUACGCCACACCCCUCCCGAUCAACAGGACCCCCGUUUCGACCGUAGGAGGUUCGUUUCCUCCGUUUUGCGGUACGCCAGACCCCUUCCGAUCAACAAGACCCCGUUCCGAACAUGGCAGGUCAAACACAAGGCUGUUUCCUCCAUUGUGCGGUACGCCAGGCCUCGUUUCCAUCGCCUAUUCCGUCCAAGCCCUCUCGAUGAACACGACCACGCAUUCCGUUCCGACCCAGCCGAUUGGCUCCCACGCGUUCCGUUGCCUCCCAAUGAACACGACGCAUUCCGUUGCCUCCUCAUGAACACGACACAUUUCGUUGCCUCCCCAUGAACAUGACGAUGACGCUGUUUUUCCGUUCUGACCCAACCAUGUACACGAGCCCUGGCCGUACGUAUGCGCAAGUAGGCAUUCGAGACCCUGCCCGUAUGUACGUACGUGGCCGUAUUUUCUUUCUUGCAUCCUGGCCGCUGUACGUACGUGUACAUGCUACGUGCGCGCCUCUACUACGACACGUACGCGCCUCUACUAUGACACGUGUGCGCCUCUACAUCGACUAGUAUAUGUGUACGUACACGUUCGCGACCAGAAUGACAACGCUACGUAAGCUUCGACCAGGUGGGUCCCGACUGUCAGGCACCUCCUUGCGUGCGAAGAUGUAGCUGGUGGGUCCCAGCAGUCAGGGGGGCGAAUCAUUUUGUGUUUUUUUUGCUCGGACACACUUCCUUUCGUGCGAAGGUGUAGCUGGUGGGUCCCAGCAGUCAGGAGGGUGAAUCGUUUUUUUGCCCAGACGCACUUCCUUGCGUGCGAAGGUGUAGCUGGUGGGUCCCAGCAGUCGGGGGGCGACGAAUCAUUUUUUUCCGGACGCACUUCCUUGCGUGUGAAGAUGUAGCUGAUGGGUCCCAGCAGUCAGGGGGGCGAAUCAUUUUUUUCGGACGCACUUCCUUGCGUGCGAAGAUGUAGCUCGUGGGUCCCAGCAGUCAGGGGGCGAAUCAAUUUUUUUUGCAAAAUACGGUGGCCCGUUCGGUGGGUCCCCGCUGUCAGGUGGAGGAAUAAUUAUUUUGCGCGUAAUAAGGAGGCACUUCCUUGCAGCUGCCAUGGACCCAGCUGUCAGCCUCUCCACGUACAGUCCACAUCCGAUGGAAGUCGUUCCUUGACCACAUUGACCACGCUGCGCCGAGAGCACCACGGCGAUGGACGAUGGCGAGGCCUAGGAAGGGGACGACGUGGAGCCGGGGAAGACGUGGCAGUGGAUGCACACGCGGAGAGGAGUACGAGGGUUCACUGGUUCGGCUGCGCUACCGUCGCCACAGAAUAACAGGGGGUGUGGGUGAGUGGAGGGAUGGCCAGGCCAGCGGUGGGAGUAGUAGGGGGCGGUGAGGCCUCCGCGACAGCACAACUGGCCACGGGAGGCAGGAGCAGGCGGCACAGCCGGCGCUGCUUUGGGCGGCUGGUGAUGGGGUUAUGUACCUAGGGUAGGGUCAUGGACCUGAUCCAAGUAACUUACCCCAGGACAUCCUUAGAAGAGGUCGCCUUCCAGUCGACCAACGAGGACUCACUCGACUGGCCUGAAGGACUCGACCACGAAGACUCACUCGACCACCAGGAGGUCAAGAGGCACUCUGGACUGCAACGGCCUGUAAUUAAGUAGCCUUUAUGAUAGUAAAGACACUUUAUGUGGGGCGUUACCAGUAACGCCCCAGACUUAACUCACCUUAAACCCUCUCCUACGUGGGCUGGCUGGGGUCCUGGCGCACUCUAUAUAAGCCACCCCCCUCCACAGGCAGAAGGGUUCGGCACCUUGUAAUUCAUAUACUCAUAAUCCACUCGACCGCCUCCGGGCUCCGAGACGUAGGGCUGUUACUUCUUCCGAGAAGGGCCUGAACUCGUACAUCCCUUGUGUUUACAACCUCUCCAUAGCUAGGACCUUGCCUCUCCAUACCUACCCCCACUCUACUAUCAGGCUUAGAACCACGACAGUUGGCGCCCACCGUGGGGUGGGUGUUUUAGCGAUUUUGUGGAGAAGUUGCGAUUCUUCCGAGUACUUUCAUCAUGCUGUCUGCUGGAGUUUUGGUCGGGGGUCAAGAGAUCCGUCUCGGCACUCUCACCUUCAUCGCCGACGACUCCGCGUGGCUCCAGGAGGCUCCUCUCGACGUAGAUGCGCUCCCCGUCCGUGGUGCGACGCAUUUUCGCGCAUGUGUCCGCGGCGUUCUGCUGCGGCAACCGUCGACCCAGUAUCGGUCGACUCCUCCAUCGUCCACCCUCCCGGUAUUCCGCCAGCGCAAGCGCUCGGGCCGGUCGAGGCUUCAGCGAUGGGUGAGGCACGCGGUGGCUCGCCAAUCGGCCACCACCCAAGUUGCGGCAAUCGAGCCCGACGAAUCUCUCUACGGCUUGUUCGAUCUAUCGACUGGCUCCGUAGAGACUGCAUCCGAGUGCGGUAGCAGUGAUCCAGCGGCGGAAAUCUUGAUGGUUGACGGGCCCCGCAGUCCCCCUGGCUUCGCCCGUGAUGAGGGAGCAGGUGACGGAGGCGACCCCGCACGACGCCACGAAGAGUACCAGCCCGAGCCACUCGACUCUCUGCAAAGAGAGGAACUUCGCCGCAGGAACGUGGAUGCCCUGCGUAUUCCCAUCGCAGGAGAAACCCCCGAGGCUCGUGCCUUGGAGGAGGCGCGUCUGGCCAAUUUGGCCGAGCGCACUCGACUGGAGAACCUUCAGCGAGCACUCGACGAGCGCGCGCGGCAACGAGUUCCCGACACCAGUCGACGUCAACUCUUCCCGCCGACUCAGGUAUAUCAAACCCCAAUUCAGAAUUUAGCAGCUGCGACCCGUAUAGCAGAGUCCAUCCAACCUUCGCAGUCGGAAGCUGGCAGAGGUUUGCUAUAGAUCAGGGAUCUGCUCCGGGCAGCAGGAGAUCAGAAUUCAGCCGUGUCUCAGUCGCGCAACAGAAUUCACAGUCGGUCCGUCACUGUGAAUACGGUUCAGUCGGCUCACAGCCCCAGAUCGCCUCCGCGGCGUGAAGGGCGCGAGAAUCGGCGAGAUCAAUAUGGCGACAGACUCGACCGAGAUGAUAGGCGUCGAGUGCCCAAUUCCCCUCCGAGGGGUGGGUCUUACGCUCCUCGGUGGCAAGAUGACAGGCGUCAGUACAGUACAGGGCGAAGGGUUCCAGUCGACCCCAGAGAACCAGGCUUCGAUGCGCGAUCCAUUAUCGUGCAAGGUUUGGUCGACCGGAACAGAGCCCAUCGGGGCGGACUCGACAGAGAUGCACCCACAAGCAGUCGAGUGCAUGUUUCUGGUCCCGAAUGUUUCAGCAGAGCUAUCAGGGCCGCAGUUAUCCCUCCCAAUUUCAGGUUGGCAACAGGAGUCAGCAAGUUCACUGGUGAGUCUAAGCCUGAAACUUGGCUUGAAGACUACCGAGUGGCAGUUCAGAUUGGUGGUGGGAACGACGAGGUGGCCAUGAAGCACUUGCCCCUCAUGCUGGAAGGUUCUGCUAGGGCGUGGUUGACUCAAUUACCUCCUAGCAACAUUUACACUUGGGAAGAUCUGUCCCGAGUGUUCAUCAGAAUGUUUGAAGGGACUUGCAAGCGACCAGCUGGAUUGACGGAGUUGCAAGUCUGCGUGCAGAAGGCUAAUGAGACUCUCAGAGAGUAUAUUCAGAGGUGGAUCACUUUGCACCACACUGUGGAGAAUGUGUCUGAUCAUCAGGCAGUCUGCGCCUUCAAAGAUGGCGUCAAGAAUAGAGAACUGAGUUUGAAGUUUGGUCGAACCGGUGAUAUGACCUUGAGUCGGAUGAUGGAGAUUGCUACCAAGUACGCCAACGGCGAAGAAGAAGACCGACUCCGAAGCAGCAAGCACAAGCCGAGUCAGUCGGAAAAAGGAAACACCAGUCGGAAACAGAAGCGGAAGGCUGAACCGGCAGCUCCUGGGGAGGCUCUGGCCGUGACUCAGGGAAAGUUUAAGGGGAAACCAAAAGGAUCCUGGAACCCCAAGAAGGUAAAGGAUAAAGAAGGGAACGACGUGAUGGACAUGCCAUGUCACAUUCACACGAAGAAAGACGAAGAGGGGAAUAUCAUUUACCCAAAGCACACCACUCGCCAAUGUCGACUCCUGAUCCAGCAGUUUCAGGGAAAACAGUCUAAGGACAAGGAGAAGGAGUUGGACAAGGCCGAAGACAAGGAGGAUAGUGAGGGAGGAUAUCCGCAUAUCAACUCCACUCUGAUGAUCUUCGCAGAUGUGGAAAGCAGAAGUCGACUGAAAGUCAUUAACCGAGAGGUGAACAUGGUUGCCCCAGCAAAAGCAAAUUAUCUGAAAUGGUCUUAAAUACCCAUCACAUUCGACCAAUCUGAUCACCCGACUCAUAUUGCCACCCCUGGGAGGCAAGAUUUGGUGGUCGAUCCAGUUGUCGAAGGCACUCGACUGACAAAGGUGCUGAUGGAUGGUGGAAGUGGGCUGAACUUGUUGUAUGCAGACACACUGAAAGGAAUGGGCAUUCCGAUGUCCAGACUGAGCACUAGUAACAUGAGCUUUCAUGGAGUUAUACCAGGGAAGAAGGCCGAGUCACUCGGCCAAAUAGCUUUGGAUGUGGUGUUUGGUGAUUCGAAACAUUUUCGCAAAGAAAAGUUGACGUUUGAGGUCGUGGAUUUUCAGAGUGCAUAUCAUGCCAUUUUGGGGAGACCAGCUUACGCACGGUUCAUGGCUCGACCAUGCUAUGUGUACCUCAAAUUGAAGAUGUCCGGCCCCAAAGGAGUGAUCACUGUCACCGGUGAUCGGAAAAAGGCAGAAGAGUGCUUUCAGAAGGGCUCCAAGAUUGCCGAUUCCCAGGUGACAGCGGUCGAGUUCGAAGAAUACAAGCAAAACGCAGAUCCGAGUGACUUGCUGCGAUCAAAGAAACCCGCCAUAGAGUCUGCAUUCCAGUCGUCCGGUGAGACGAAGCCUGUUCAUAUUCACCCGACCGACCCCGAUGCAGCUCCGACUCGCAUCUCCACAACACUCGACCCAAAAUAGGAAGAAGCGCUCAUCCAGUUCCUCCGUGAGAACUGGGACAUUUUUGCAUGGAAGCCCGCUGACAUGCCAGGUGUUCCCAUGGGACUGGCUGAGCAUCGCCUAAGAGUCGACUCAUCUGCAAAACCAGUCAAAGAGCAUCUUCGGCGGUCCGCCGUCCAGAAGAGAAAAGCCAUUGGUGAGGAAGUGGCUCGACUGUUGGCAGCAGGAUUUAUCCGAGAGAUAUACCACUCCGAGUGGCUCGCUAAUGUCGUCAUGGUCCCUAAGAAGGACAAGUCGCUCCGAAUGUGCAUUGAUUUCAAGCACAUCAUCCGGGCCUGCCCGAAAGAUCAUUUUCCUCUCCCUCGCAUAGAUCAAAUUGUUGACUCGACCGCGGGAUGCGAGAGACUAUCUUUUUUAGAUGCCUACUCCGGGUACCAUCAGAUCCGUCUGUACGGACCCGACGAGGUAAAAACAGCUUUCAUCACUCCAUUCGGGUGCUUCUGCUAUAUCACCAUGCCAUUCGGCCUCAAGAAUGCUGGAGCCACAUUUAUGCGAAUGAUUCAGAAGUGUCUACUCACUCAAAUCAGUCGGAAUGUGGAAGCAUAUAUGGAUGAUAUCGUUGUCAAGUCACGAAAAGGUUCCGACCUGCUCGCUGAUCUCGCCGAAACAUUUGCCAACCUCAGAAGGUAUGAUAUCAAGCUCAAUCCAUCAAAGUGCACAUUUGGAGUUCCUGGUGGCAAGUUACUCGGUUUUCUCAUUUCCGAACGGGGAAUCGACGCUAACCCAGAGAAGAUUGGCACUAUUCUCCGAAUGAAACGCCCUGUGCGAGUGCACGAUGUCCAGAAGCUUACUGGAUGCUUGGCCGCAUUAAGUCGAUUCAUCUCACGACUCGGUGAAAAGGCAUUGCCUCUUUACCGACUGAUGAAGAAGGCAGACAAGUUCGAGUGGACUCCAGAAGCUGAUGCAGCGUUUGCCGAGCUAAAAGCUCUGCUCUCCACCCAGCCGGUGCUUGCUGCUCCAAUCAGCAAAGAGCCUCUGUUGCUCUAUAUCGCAGCCACAGGACAAGUCGUCAGUACUGUGCUAACGGUCGAGCGGGAAGAAGAAGGAAAAGCUCUCAAAGUUCAGCGCCCAGUGUAUUAUUUGUCUGAAGUCUUGACUCCAUCCAAGCAGAGAUAUCCUCAUUAUCAGAAGCUUGUGUAUGGAAUAUACAUGACCACAAAGAAGGUUGCUCAUUAUUUCUCUGAUCAUUCCAUCACAGUCGUCAGCGACGCACCACUAUCAGAGAUUUUGCACAACAGAGAUGCAACUGGUCGAGUGGCCAAAUGGGCGAUUGAACUUCUUCCCCUUGAUAUCAAGUUUGAGGCAAAGAAAGCCAUUAAGUCCCAGGCAAUAGCAGAUUUCCUCGCCGAGUGGAUUGAACAGCAACAGCCGACUGAAGUUCAAUCGGAGCAUUGGACCAUGUUCUUUGAUGGCUCUAAGAUGUUGAAUGGUUCCGGUGCUGGGGUUGUCCUGGUUUCCCCCAGAGGAGAUAAGCUCAGAUAUGUGCUCCAGAUUCACUUUGAUUCCUCCAACAAUGAGGCAGAAUAUGAGGCCCUCUUAUAUGGGUUGCGCAUGGCCAUUUCACUCGGCGUCCGUCGCCUGAUGGUCUAUGGCGACUCGGAUUUAGUGGUCAACCAGGUGAUGAAAGAGUGGGACGUGAGAAGCCCAGCCAUGACUGGAUACUGCAGUGCAGUGAGGAAGCUGGAAAAGAAGUUCGAGGGGUUGGAGCUCCAUCAUAUACCCCGACUGAAAAAUCAAGCAGCUGAUGAUCUAGCCAAGAUAGGUUCCAAGAGAGAAGCCAUUCCGAGUGGUGUGUUCUUGGAGCAUAUACACACUCCGUCAGUCAAAGAAGAUCCUUUCACCGAAGAAGCUCCACAGCCCAAGAGUGCCACAGAUCCGACUGAGGUUGAAGUCCCAGCGGUGGUCGACUUGAUCAUGGAGGUCUUGGUGGUCAUUCCCGACUGGACAGUUCCAUACGUUGCGUAUAUCCUGAGAAAAGAGCUCCCGGAGGAUGAGGAAGAGGCUCGACAGAUCGUCCGUCGAUCUAAGGCCUUUACCGUAAUCAAAGGACAAUUAUACAGAGAAAGCGCGUCUGGAGUUGGCCAGAAGUGCAUAACACCAGAAGAAGGUCGACUCAUCCUCAAUGAUAUUCACUCGGGGACCUGUGGUCAUCAUGCGUCCUCUCGGACCAUCGUGGCCAAAGCAUACCGAGCCAGAUUUUACUGGCCAAACGCGAAUGAGAUGGCAAAAGAUAUAGUGGAUAAGUGCGAGGGAUGUCAGUUCUACUCGAAUAUGUCGCACAAGCCUGCGUCGGCCCUGAAGACCAUCCCACUCGUCUGGCAUUUCGCGGUAUGGGGACUGGACAUGGUCGGUCCUUUGAGAACAGGACGAAGUGGCUUCACGCAUGUACUGGUGGCAGUCGACAAGUUCACCAAGUGGAUCGAGGCUAAACCAAUCAAGAGCCUUGACGCCGGUACUGCUGUUAGCUUCAUCAGGGAACUAAUAUUCAGAUAUGGAGUCCCGCACAGCAUCAUUACGGAUAAUGGGUCAAACUUUGACUCAGAGGAAUUCAGAGAUUUCUGCAACUCCCAAGGCACACGGGUCGACUACGCUUCAGUCGCCCAUCCGCAGUCGAAUGGACAAGCAGAGCGAGCUAAUGGAUUGAUUCUUAAGGGAUUGAAGCCUCGACUGAUGCGUGAUCUCAAACACGCGGCUGGAGCUUGGGUAGACGAACUUCCCUCAGUGCUUUGGGGACUGCGGACCACACCUAACCGGUCGACCAGAAGAACUCCAUUCUUCUUGGUCUAUGGAGCUGAAGCAGUCUUGCCGAGUGAUCUUCUCCACAAUGCUCCUCGAGUUGAAAUCUACAACGAAGCAGAGGCUGAACAAGCGCGGCAGGACGCAGUCGACCUUUUAGAAGAAGAAAGGGAGAUGGCUCUGAUCUGGUCGACCAUCUACCAACAAGAUUUGCGUCGUUUCCACGCCAGAAAUGUGAGAGGUCGAGCCUUCCAGGAAGGGGAUUUAGUUCUCCGAGUGGAUCAGCACAAACCACACAAGCUUGCUCCUUCUUGGGAAGGUCCCUUCAUCGUCACCAAGGUUCUCCACAACGGGGCGUAUCAUCUUUACAACGUCGAGCAUGAUAUCGACGAGCCCCGAGCUUGGAACGCGGAGCUACUCCGCCCAUUUUACACUUAAGUUUAUCACUCGGAUGAGUUGCAAUAAAGUACUUCUGUAGUCCAUGGACCUCAAAAUAAUAAGUGUCAAAGUUCCUCCAUAAUUUCUGUCACUUUUUAUUUUUGUCCAAUAAAAUUCCCCCUCAGUGGGUGACUUAGCCGCGAAUCCGUUUCGCCUAAGUUUGUAAAAAUCCUACCGAGUGGUGAGCCAGACUCUCACUCGGAGGCUUAGCUGCGAAUCCGUUUCGCCUAAGUUAUAAAAAUCCUACCGAGUGAAGAGCAACCCUCUCACUCGGGGGCUUAGCUGCAGUCCAAGCACUCGCCUAAGUUACAAAAAUCCUACCGAGUGAAGAGCAACCCUCUCACUCGGGGGCUUAGCUGCAGUCCAAGCACUCGCCUAAGUUAUAAAAAUCCUACCGAGUGAAGAGCAACCCUCUCACUCGGAGGCUUAGCUGCAGUCCAAGCACUCGCCUAAGUUAUAAAAAUCCUACCGAGUGAAGAGCAACCCUCUCACUCGGGGGCUUAGGUGUAGUCCAAGCACUCGCCUAAGUUAUCAAAAUCCUACCGAGUGAAGAGCAACCCUCUCACUCGGGGGCUUAGCUGCAGUUCAAGCACUCGCCUAAGUUAUAAAAAUCCUACCGAGUGAAGAGCAACCCUCUCACUCGGGGGCUUAGCUGCGGCCCAGUGCUCGCCUAAGUUAUAGAAAUCCUACCGAGUGGUAAGCCGGGCUUCCACUCGGAGGCUUAGCCGCAGCCCAGUGCUCGNNNNNNNNNNNNNNNNNNNNNNNNNNNNNNNNNNNNNNNNNNNNNNNNNNNNNNNNNNNNNNNNNNNNNNNNNNNNNNNNNNNNNNNNNNNNNNNNNNNNNNNNNNNNNNNNNNNNNNNNNNNNNNNNNNNNNNNNNNNNNNNNNNNNNNNNNNNNNNNNNNNNNNNNNNNNNNNNNNNNNNNNNNNNNNNNNNNNNNNNNNNNNNNNNNNNNNNNNNNNNNNNAGCACUCGCCUAAGUUAUAAAAAUCCUACCGAGUGAAGAGCAACCCUCUCACUCGGGGGCUUAGCUGCAGCCCUGUGCUCGCCUAAGUUAUAAAAAUCCUACCGAGUGAAGAGCAACCCUCUCACUCGGGGGCUUAGCUGCAGUCCAAGCACUCGCCUAAGUUAUAAAAAUCCUACCGAGUGAAGAGCAACCCUCUCACUCGGAGGCUUAGCUGCAGUCCAAGCACUCGCCUAAGUUACAAAAACCCUGCCGAGUGAAGAGCAAACCUCUCACUCGGAGGCUUAGCUGCAGCCCUGUGCUCGCCUAAGUUACCAAAAUCCUACCGAGUGAAGAGCAAGCUUCUCACUCGGAGGCUUAGCCGCAGCUCAGUGCUCGCCUAAGUGGACUAAAGAAUAAGUCGAUUGCAGUAAAGACGCCUUGCUUUGAACCUGCAAAAGACAUUUCGAGCCAAAGGCAAUCAUAUUCAAGCACCAAAUUCAAGUUCGAAUCGAUAUCUAAAGGAACCGAAAGUGCUCAGGCGUUAAGCCUGUUAAGGUUUGUCGGUUACAAUUCCACUCGGCAUACCGAGGCAAAUUUAAAGAGUCGAGCCAGAAGAAGUUUUUUACCCCUCCUGUGGAGGGCUGGAAGGUGCAACGAAUUCAUCAAGGUCAAUUCCGUCGGCGAUCCGAGUGGCAGCUGCAAGGAAAGUUUCCAUAAAGGACCUGAAGUCGUGUUUCUUGGUGUUGGCCACCCGAAGAGCCGCCAGCUUCUCUUCUCGCGCAUCUUUACAGUGGACUCGGGCCAGACACAGAGCAACAUCUGCACCACACCGAGCCGAGGACUUCUUCCAUUCCUGCACUCGACCAGGGAUCGUGUUCAAACGGGUCAUCAGCGACUCAAGGUCAUUCUGAAGUGUCUCCUCAGGCCAGAGCGUCGAGUCGAUGCGAGAUGUGGCGGCCUUCAGCCUUGCGAGAUAGUCCACGACAGCUGCAACACGAGACUCCAGUCGGAAAACAUCCAUGGCCACUUCGUCGUUCACCGGAGAAUUGACGGGGUCGAGGUUUGGCUCCAGUCGGCUGGUUUCUUCUUCAAAGUUUUGACAAAAUUCUGCAAGGAUGAUCACUAAGUAAAGGAGAUGGUCGAAUGGAAAAACCACAAUUGGAAAUGUUCGCCAAGCAUAGAGGUUUACCUUCAAGCAUAAGAAACAGCUUCUUGGCAAGACCACUCAGGAAGGCCUCCAGAUCAGUUUUCUUCCCAGUCAAUUUGCUGACUUGGUCAGUCAGGGCAGCUUUAUCAGUUUUCAGUCGACUGACCUCCUUGUUGGCGAUCCCAAGAGCAGCCUUCAGAUUGGUAUUGUCUUGUUCAAGCUUGGUGACUGAAGCUAACUUCUCGUCAGCAAGCUUGAUCUUCUCAGCUAGCUCGAGGUCUUUCUUCUGUUGGGCCUCCCUUACCUUACCCGCAAGUUACAGCAAGAUCAGAUUCUGAAACAAGCAAGGAGAAAAGCAGUCGUCAGGGUCUCACCAAACAUACCUUCGGUCUCCUCCUUUGCUUUUGUCAGCUUCUCCUGAACCAGCUUCAGGCUCAGCUCGAGUUGAGUGUGCUUGCUUUCCAGCUCAGAGUAGCGAGCCACAAGAUCACAAGAGUUCUGCGAAGAACCAAUCGACUAAAUGUCAAAUAUAAUUCACUUCCGAGUGAAAAAGGAAAAACACACGUUUCUAAGACUACAGCCGAAUACAAGCAUUCGACCGUAGUCUCGGGGACUACACCCAGUGGGUGCACUCAGCGUGCCCCCACUAAUCCUGUUGAAGACAAAGUCGACCAGUCGACCUCAAAAAAAAAGAAACAGAAAUGCAUUCUCUAAGACUGUGAUCCACUGCAAGCAGUCGACCACAGUCUCGGGGACUACACCCAGUGGGUGCACUCAGCGUGCCCCCACCGGUUUGUGAAAUCCAGUCGACAUAGUCGACUGCCAGCAAAAUUGACAUCAUAAAGCCUAAGGCCGACUGCCAGCAGUCGACCUUAGCCUUGGGGACUACACCCAGCGGGUGCACUCAGCGUGCCCCCGCUAAUCACGGAGUCUAAUCGACACACCCACUGGGUGACUACUAUAAAUUCCGGAAAGGAAAAGUUUUUGGUUGCAUAUCCAACAGAACAAACGAUGGUCGACUGACCUGGACAUUGCUUUGGAGGGCAGAACUGGCGUCAUAAGCUGCCUGGCUCGCAUCUCGGAUGGUCUUCAACUGCUCCAUCAUGAUACCCGCCUGACGUAUCGCUUCCUUCGCCGCGCCAGCUUGGUCCUCCGGGACGUGGUGCGUUGUGAAGAGGGAGGGCUGCUGAGCACUCGUCAAUGGAUCUGCGAAGGACACCGUGUGUCGAGUGGUGUUCCCUUCCUCCGCAGUCGGAAUCUCAGGCGCCGUCACAUCCUGAGGCACCUUACUGGCGGACGCUUUCCGACUCCUCCCGCGCUUCAGUGGUUCUUCGUCCUCAUCAUCAUCAGGGAGAUCGAUAACAACAUUGGGUGGAGCUGUGGAGAAGAAUCAGGAUCAGAGAUCGCGAGUCAGUCGACUAAGAACGGCGUUAAGAAUAGAGUACCUGGUUUCGAAGUUGCUGCGUCCUCCAUCUCGUGGUCAUCAGCCCGGGCUGAGGUUUCAGAAGUAGCAGCACUGCAACUCCAAGGGAUCAGUCGACUAAACUUCAGCGUCGACCAGAGACAAAGUUCACACAAAAUAAGAAGACUUAAGCAGCACGGUUACCCUGAUAUGGUGGGGAUGGACACCUUCAUCUUCGGCAGGAGCUUGAUCGGCUUCGACGAGGCCGCCCUGGGCUGCUUCGGCGCCUUUUCAGUCGGCACCGGAGAGGUGGUCCGAGGACGCUUGGUCGACUGAGCGACGGUCGCAACCCCCUUACCACGUUCAGUCGAAGGGUCGUGGACAAGCUUCGACCGCCUUUCCGAGCGCGGUGGUACGACCUCCUCCUCCUCUUCUUCCUCGUCUUCAACGUCAUCUUCAUCACCGCCAUCAUCGUCAUCAUCAUCAUCGCCCUCUGCAACGUCCGAGUCCCACUCCUCCUCGUCCUGGCUCUCGCCCCCACUCACCUCACCCUCCUCAGUCGGAGUUUGUGCCCCAUUGGGCAUCGAGUACAGCUCGGUGAGGGCCUAGCAGAUAUCAAGACAAGAAUCAGUCGACCAGUCGGCAGAGUAAACAGAAAUGAAUGCGACAAGAACGCAGUGGAGAGCAGAGCAAGUGUACCUUGUUUGGAUCGCUGUGGUGGUCGAGUGGAGGAAUCCUUCUGGCUCCGCGUGGGUUGUCCUUGUUCCCGGUGACGGCUACCAUCCAUCUUUCCAGAGUGACAUCGUCGACUGCUUCUGGAUGGACUCGAGUCUCGUCUUCAGUCCCACAGUACAACCACAUGCAGUGGCUCCGGAACUGAAGGGGCUGGAUGCGACGCCUGAGGAAGACCUCCAGGAGGUCCAUGCCCGUCACUCCCUCCCGAACCAACUGCACCACGCGCUCCAUCAACAUCUUCACGUCAGCUUUCUCCUCCGGAAUCAACUUCAGAGGGGAGGGCUUGUUCACUCGGUCCAUGGUAAACGGAGGGAGUCCACUCGACUGCCCUGGCGUCGACUGGACCUGGCAGUAGAACCAAGUCGACUGCCAGCCUCUGACGGACUCGGGAAAGGUCAUGGGCAGGAAGGUGCUCUUAUUCCUCACUUGGAUCCCCAGACCCCCACACAUUUGGACGACUCGGGUUCUCUCAUCACCUGGGCUCGCCUUCUUCACGGUCUGAGAGCGACACGUGAAUAUGUGUUUGAACAAACCCCAGUGCGGUCGACAGCCCAAGAAACCCUCACACAUGGACACAAACGCGGCAAGAUAGGCAAUAGAGUUUGGGGUAAAGUGGUGGAGCUGCGCUCCGAAGAAAUUCAAGAAGCCACGGAAGAAAACACUCGGCAGCAAGGAAAAUCCACGAUCUACAUGGGUGGCCAAGAGCACACACUCACCCUCUUCUGGCUGGGGCUGCCACUCCUUCCCCGGAAGCCUCGCAGCUCCAUGAGGGAUCAAACCCUCGUUGGCCAUGUCGAGGAGGUCAUUCUCUGUGAUGGUCGACUGGAUCCAGUCUCCUUGGACCCAGCCCUUCGGCAGGCGGGAUCUGGACGAGGACCCUCCGCGGGUGGUAGAUCUCCCCUUUGCCUUCUCCGACGCCGACGCCUUCUUCGCACGUUCCAGCGCCGCCGUCUUCUCCUUGGCCAUGGUUGCCGGCGAGAUGCGUGAAGGGAAGUGGUGCGGGGGCGAGAGCGAGCACACUGGGCGGAGAAGAAGGAAGCAGAGAGAGAGAGAGAAUGCUGAGGCGCAGCACAGGAAUCCUCACCGGGCGCAUUUAUAAGGUCCCUUCCGAGUGGAUGACAUGUGGGCCCGGUCGAUCUAAUCAUACCAGGAACAGUUAUGCAAACGGGAUACGUGGCGGAUAAAGCGGCGCGGAGAUCGAGGCGUCUAUGUCCCGUCCCAUCCGAACGCCGCGGUCCGCUCCACUUCGCGCGCGUCCCCAAAUUUCGCAUCCCGCGGAAUCCGCGAACGGCAGAUCAGUCUGUCAGACGCGGAGUUUCCUGCGAUCCGUCGCUCGGGGAUCGUCGAAGCCCAAAAUAUCACUCGACAAAAGAAGAGAAUGGAUCAAGUCGACUGAAGACAAGUUGCUCACUGUCGACGAAGAGGUUCUUUGGUCCAGAACAGCGCACAACCAGAGCGCAAAGGUUAAUCGGAAACGACAUCAACUCCUUCUUCACUCGAAGCCUCAAUCCAUUCGGGGGCUAAUGAUGGGGUUAUGUACCUAGGGUAGGGUCAUGGACCUGAUCCAAGUAACUUACCCCAGGACAUCCUUAGAAGAGGUCGCCUUCCAGUCGACCAACGAGGACUCACUCGACUGGCCUGAAGGACUCGACCACGAAGACUCACUCGACCACCAGGAGGUCAAGAGGCACUCUGCACUGCAACGGCCUGUAAUUAAGUAGCCUUUAUGAUAGUAAAGACACUUUAUGUGGGGCGUUACCAGUAACGCCCCAGACUUAACUCACCUUAAACCCUCUCCUACGUGGGCCGGCUGGGGUCCUGGCGCACUCUAUAUAAGCCACCCCCCUCCACAGGCAGAAGGGUUCGGCACCUUGUAAUUCAUAUACUCAUAAUCCACUCGACCGCCUCCGGGCUCCGAGACGUAGGGCUGUUACUUCUUCCGAGAAGGGCCUGAACUCGUACAUCCCUUGUGUUUACAACCUCUCCAUAGCUAGGACCUUGCCUCUCCAUACCUACCCCCCACUCUACUGUCAGGCUUAGAACCACGACAGCUGGAGCAAGAAGAACAUAGUUUGAAGAAGCACGAAUGCCGUUGGAUGGACAUCGUACGGUCACUACAGCCGUACGGUCACUACAGCUAGAAUCGUUUAUAUUGACUAAGUUGACAAAGCCCUUGGUACGUCAACUUAGUAGGCCCACAGGUCAGCUUCCAAAAUGGUGCGCCCCAGAUGUCAGGGGGACGAAUCAUUUUUUGGGCGGGUGAAGCUAGAAUAUCCGAGAUUGAAGAAGAAGCACAUCAUCCGUUGGAUGGACAUCCAACGGCCACUGCUGCUAGAACUGUGUGUUGACUAUAAGUUGACAAAGCCUUGCAUACGCGUCAACUCUGUUUUUUUAGGGGACGCGUCAACUUAGUAAGGCCAGAAGUGUGUGGCAGAGAACUUAUAGCUCAUUUGAGAUUUGUAAGAAUGUGUAGCCCAUUUUUGAAUUCUAAUGGAAUUUACUACAGCCCAUUUACAGUUUGUUAAAAGUACGGCCCAUUUCAACCAACCGUUCAAAGCAGAAUUUAAUAAAAAAUUUCAAAUUUUGAUGGGAUCCGAAAUAUUUUUAUCCCGAAAUUUCUAGUCAGAUUAAAUACAAUUUCAAUAUAAAUUUAUAUUACGUAAAAAUCCAACGAAACAUUGCGCUCGCAACAAUUAAUGAAAUUAAAAUUUUCAAUAUCAAAAAUAAUAUUUUAUAAAGUAAUCACGUGUUUGGUGCAUUUUUUUAUAGUUACUGCCCAGUUUUUAUAAUUACAUCUCAUUUAUUAUUUCUUAAAGCCCAUUUUCUUGUUAAGCCUAAUGCAUCCCUCCUAGGAAAGAUUUACAGCCCAGUGGGGCGGAGAAUAACAACUUGACCUUGUCUGGGUAAUCCUAAAAAAAAGUAUAGCUAGGCUAGCCAUUUUCAGCUUGAGAAAAAUUAAUAUCUGCGCUGGAUAUCUCGUCUGGGCUAGACGGGCCAUAGCCCGCCCGGUUAAUACCUGCAUCGAUGUUUUCGUUGUUGUUCAGAGGAGAAAAAUUAAUAUCUGAGCUAAACAUCGAAAAACUCUGUAGUGCUCACACCUCAAAAACACAAAUACUGCUCAAGCUGCUUGGUCCAAGGUAGAUGGUGAGUGGUGGAACACUUUUUAUAGUUUUGCAAAAGCACCUAAUUAAUGCUCUUGUUAUCCUCAAAAAUUUAUGUUUAUCAAUGCAUUAAUUGCAAUGCAUGCAUGCAUAAAGUACAUGCAUUGGUCAAUUUUCUCUUAAUACUUGCAUGCAAUGAUUUAAUGCACCUUGGAAUCUGAACAUGUGAUGGAAAACAACCAAACUGAGCUUUAUGAAAUGGAAAAACUAAAAUUUUGAGAUAAGCCCUAUAAACCGGAAAGGAAGGAGUACAUAAGUUGACAAUGGUGUGGGACCGUGAUACCAGGAAAUCAGGAGGAAGCAAAAUAAAUUAUAUAUAUAUAUAUAUAUAUAUAUAUAUAUAAUAAGGAGGCACUUGCGUACGUGAGGCUAUGGACCUGGUGGGUCCCCAUUGUCAUCCUCUCCAAGUAAAGUCAUCUCCUCGCCCACGCGCGCUUUCCGCCCGAAACAGUCAGCGCCACCCGCCCCGCUUCCCGGUGCAGGCGAUUGCUCUGCCUUCAAACGACACAAGUGCCGUCCGUCCGUCCAUCUGCCGCCCAUAUUAAUGAUAUGUGGUUGCCAAGGCGGCUACUCCGGCGCCACACGUCCGUCCCUCCGCCCGCCCACCAUUGCUAUAUAAACUGCUGCGCCGGCCAUUGCCGUCAUCCGCAUCCAUUCCCUUUCUCCUGUCCACAUCACUACUGCCCACCAUGGCUUCCUCGCGCUCCAGCGCUCUUCGGGACGGGCGGACGACGGACCACAAGGAGAUGGCAACCAUUGCUGCCGACCGGCUGGCCGGCAGGCAGCCGGAGGACGAUGAUUUCCCAAUGGAGAACAUGGUAGUCGACGAUCUGGUACCAACCCCCUCCUCCGUGCCAUCCUCGCCGGUGCAUUGCACCAUGACCAUCGACGAGGCCCGUGUCGAAUAUAUGGACAGGGUGAGGCAGAUGCGUGAGGAGCAGUUCCGGGAGGCGCAUGCCGACGCCGCCUACAACCACCAUCUCCUCUAGGAGCACCUGUAGGCGGAGGAGCAGAUCGCCGCGGAGCGGGCGGAGCAGGAGGCGCUGCUCGACUCGUACCGCACCGCCCGCAAGGGCCGCCUCGAGCGCUGGCGGUACCGCAUGCGGGUGGCGGAGGCUGCGACCGCCUACAAAGAGGCUAGCAAAGAGGGCGAUGAAGCGGGCGAGGCGCUGUUUGGCGAGACCGAGGACAAGGCAGAGGACAAUGCCGGCUCCGACGAGUCCCCGCUCCGCUGGCGUCGACAAGGCCCUGCUCCACCGAGGCCCCGCGAUGCCAACAACGAGGCAGAGGACACCGCCGGCUCCGCCGAGGCCCCGCCCUGCCAACAAUGAGGCAGAGGACAUCGCUGGCUCAGUCGAGGCCCUACCCUGCCGGCAACGUGGGGGAGGAUUUCCACCGCUCCGCUGAGGCGCCUCCCGCCGGCAACGAGACAGAGGACAUCGCCGGCUCCACCGAGGCCCCGCCCCGCUGCCAACGAGGCCGCGCCACACAGAAAACGAGGAAGAGUAGAACAUGGUAGGUCGCCGCCGCUCGGGUCCAAGUAAGGCCACUGCUGCUACCCUCCGGUUGAAGCCAAGCUAGGCGGGUUGACCAUUGACGGCCGGUUAGCUUCUUGGCGGUGACAUGGAGUCGGAGAGCUGCGCUGGAGAAGAACGCUGCUUCUACUUAACUGCUGGUGUAGUUGGUUGACUGACACGUGGGCCCAACAGGCCACAUGUCAGUUAUGCAACUGCACCUGCAGUUAAGUCACUGAAGAUUCUGUUCGGCUCAGCGGACACAUGUGAGUAGCUUCGGUUAAUUAAUUAUACCUCCAGCGCACCCCUUUUUAGUUGAAGAAUGUAUGAAAUGUAAUGAAAUCCGGCAUGUUUAUAUGAAAUCCGACCGUGUAUGAAUGAAUUUAUUUUGAUUAGUUUGAAUUCCUGUAUCACUGGCAUUGGAUGAACAUGCAAAACAAUACGUACUAGCAUUAUUCCCAGGGUGACCACCUCGUUUGCAGCAGUUUCACAUGUACUCCCUCCGGUCCUUUCUAGUCUGCAUACAACUUUUGUCUGCAGUCAAAGUAUCUAUACUUUGACCAAUCUUAUACAAAAAAGUAUGCACUUUCACAAUGUGCGAAGUAAAAGGGAACAGAAGGAGUACAAAGAGUUUGAGCAGCUUUUUAGCGUUUCUGUACAUUGCAAUCAAACACACAUGCUUGGCAAUUCAUAGAGAACAUUCAAAACAAUCGAUGAUUAUGCAUCUCAGCGACUCACAUGUCAGAGGCAAUAUUUACUUCACAACUAAAGAAUAAAGAAAAAAUUGAUCGACGCUGCUGACAGCAAAGGGCGUCCCAUUCGAAAAUAUCAAACUCAUGUCUUGCUAAAAUCAAUGAGCAAAAUUUGACAAGGUUGUCCCAUUCCAAAAUAUCAAAUGCCUACGAUUGUGGAAUGGGUAGGGUUUGCCAUCAGUUCGGACAUUGACAUGGCACCUCGUGCUAAAUAAACCAACUGUUCUUUUUGUGCAGUUCCAUCAAAAUUAACCAAACUCGCGCGUAGCUUGUAUGAUUUCGCCCUUAUAUGUUGCAACGCCUUGAACUUAUCAGCACCUCCUUUCUUGUGGUGGAAAUUAAUAUACAUGAACAUUUUGUGCAGUUCCCAUUGAAAUCAAGCUGAGCACCCCUGUUUGCACAAAUACAAAAAAGUGAUUAGUAUAAAGCAAACUGUACUAUGAAUUGACAGUUUCAACAGGCACAUACAUGGUCCAUGUAGAGCACACUUUUAGAAAAAUGGAACUCACCAGAAAGAAUCCUAGAACAACAUUGUACUCGCGCAUCACAACAAAAAAAAUGGAGACUUGUCAGUCCUUCUGAGCUGAAGUUAGUUUAGUCUUGUGGGGAGUAAUGUAACCAUCCUUCAACUGCUCCUUCUGACGAGAAGAUAGACAGGGCUUCUUCAUCCUGGCAUAAUCGGAACUAGUCACUUCACGUACUCCAUAUUCUUCUUCAGAGGAAGAUGAUCCUGUUGUGCAAAGACAAGAGGACUACUAAAUGCUAGCAUCCCUGUUUGCUCGAAAAAAAGGAAAGGAAAUAUUUAAAACAUCACAGAUGAAGCACUUCUCAAGGACAAUACCACUUUUUCAUGACAGUAUCUAAACAGUAGCACAACACCAAUAGAGAUGACAAAGCUCAAUCAUAUGGAUGAAAUCAGUGGGCGAGUACCAACCUUUGUCAGGAGAGGCUUACUAUAUAGAGCAUACAUAUGAAGCACUUCUCCGGAACCAUCUGUUGUUAUCUACGGUGGUGGCCAUGCUUACUAUAUACUCCUCUAUUAGUUUAAUGUUUCCAACAUCUUCUUGUGCAGUUCUACUAAAAUAUAUUGUAUCUUCAAAGAAGAUCCAUGUUUGCACAAGUAGAGAUAAUUACGUAUUACAUUAAGAGUGGCAUCAAAUCAGUGGCAAAACAAUUGCUCGUUCCAGCCAUAGCAAUAAAUUAAGAUGCAAAACUAUAUCAUUACUUGUGUCAUCACAGUUCCAGUGCUUCAUUAUAGCACCGGGAGUUGAUUUUUGUUUUUCUUCCGUUUGUUCUUCCCCUUCAUCACUUGGUUCAAUAAUAGACAAGCUUCGCCUUCAAUGUAAGAUUUGGCAUGUCAAUUAGGGAGCACAAGUAUAGUACUAAACUUAAUUUUCUGAUGAAAGUGGCAAAAUACAGGCCAACAGUUGUGAAAUAUCCUUAUCUUUACUCAGUGGGAUAUUACAAUGCACAUACAGAUUGGAAGUCUUGUCUCCAUUUGUUCAGUUCACUAAAAUCAAGCAACAUUAUCAUACAAGUAGCACAACAUAUGAAAGCACACUGCAGAAUCAUGUGAAAGAAGGCUAGUACUGACCUCUCAUGAUGUGGAAUUCAAACAACUCACAAGAAGAAGAUCUAAACCAAAUCCGCCUUAACGGAUAGGAAGUAAGAUAUCCUCUUGUGCAGUUCCACUAAGAUCAAGCAAUCAAGCAACAUUAUCGGUGUGACAUUUUGGUUGAACUGCACAAAACACUCUUAAAACAAAAGAGUUUUGUGCAGUGCAACAAAAGGUCACAAUGGCAACGAGGUGAAGUAGAUAACCCUGUUUACACAGAGGUGCAAAGGAAACAAUUAGUGGUCAAUAAUGGUGGAUGACACAGAAGCCAACAAAAAGAAGCAUCUACCUUAUCUAAAUGGGAAAGAAAGCAAGACAGUAACAUUCCUCAAACGGUGGCUGCUACGUCUUGAGCUUGCGUUGGUUUUCCCCGAAGAGGAGAGGGUGAUGCAACAAGUGUAGCGUAAGUAUUUCCCUCAGUUUUGAGAACCAAGGUAUCAAUCCAGUAGGAGGCUCGGAGAAGCUGCUUACAUAUUGGGCAUCAAGAUCUAUAGAGAUAAAUCAAGACGCCUAAUUGGACUUUCACAAAGCUCAUACAUUGAUAAAGUUUUGAAGAAGUUCAAAAUGGAUCAAUCAAAGAAAGGGUUCUUGCCUGUGUUACAAGGUGUGAAGUUGAGUCAGACUCAAAGCCCGACCACCACAGAAGAUAGAGAGAAAAUGUAAGUCAUUCCCUAUGCUUCAGCCAUAGGUUAUAUCAUGUAUGCAAUGGUAUGUACUAGACUUGAUGAUGUCUUGCUAUAAGCAUAGCAGGGAGGUACCAAAGUAAUCCUAGAGUGGAGCACUGGACAACGGUCAAGAACAUCCUGAAAUACCUGAAAAGGACUAAGGAUAUGUUUCUUGUUUAUGAAGAUGAAAAAGAGCUCGUCGUAAAUGGUUACAUCGCUACAAGCUUUGACACCGAUCCGGAUGACUCUAAGUCACAAACCGGAUACGUAUUUUUAUUGAAUGGAGGAGCUGUCAGUAGGUGCAAUAUACACACGGAUCUGAAUGUUGCAGAACCGUUGACUAAGCCUCUUCCACGAGCAAAACAUGAUCAACACCAAAGAUCCAUGGGUGUUAGAAUCAUUACUAUGUAAUCUAGAUUAUUGACUCUAGUGCAAGUGUGAGAUUGAAGGAAAUAUGCCCUAGAGGCAAUAAUAGAGUUAUUAUUUAUUUCCUUAAUUCAUGAUAAAUGUUUAUUAUUCAUGCUAGAAUUGUAUUAACCGAAAACUUAGUACAUGUGUGAAUACAUAGACAAAACAUAUAGUCCCUAGUAUGCCUCUACUUGACUAGCUCGUUAAUCAAAGAUGGUUAUGUUUCCUAACCAUAGACAUGUGUUUUCAUUUGAUGAACGGGAUCAUAUCAUUAGGAUAAUGAUGUGAUGGACAUGACCCAUCCAUUAGCUUACCAUUAUGAUCGUGUUAAUUUCAUGGCUACUGCUUUCUUAUGACUUAUACAAGUUCCUCAGACUAUGAGAUUAUGCAACUCCCGAAUACCGGAGGAACACUUUGUGUGAUACCAAACGUCACAAUGUAAAUGAGUGAUUAUAAAGGUGCUCUACAGGUGUCUCCGAAGGUGUUUGUUGGGUUGGCAUAGAUCGAGAUUAGGAUUUGUCACUCCGUGUUUCAGAGAGGUAUCUCUGGGCCCUCUCGGUAAUACUCAUCACUAUAAGCCUUGCAAGCAUUGUGACUAAUGAGUUAGUUGCAGGAUGAAGUAUUAUGGAACGAGUAAAGAGACUUGCCGGUAAAGAGAUUGAACUAGGUAUUGAGAUACCGACGAUUGAAUCUCGGGCAAGUAACAUACCGAUGACAAAGGGAACAAUGUAUGUUGUUAUGCGGUUUGACCGAUAAAGAUCUUCAUAGAAUAUGUAGGAACCAAUAUGAGCAUCCAGGUUCCGCUAUUGGUUAUUGACCGGAGACGUGUCUCGGCCAUGUCUACAUAGUUCUCGAACCCGUAGGGUCCGCACACUUAACGUUUGAUGACGAUUGGUAUUAUGAGUUUAUGUGUUUUGAUGUAUCGAAGGUAGUUCAGAGUCCCGGAUGUGAUCACGGACAUGACGAGGAGUCUCGAAAUGGUCGAGACAUAAAUAUUGAUAUAUUGGACGACUAUGUUCAGACAUCGCAAUUGUUCCGGGUGAGUUCGGGCAUUUACCGGAGUACCGGGGNNNNNNNNNNNNNNNNNNNNNNNNNNNNNNNNNNNNNNNNNNNNNNNNNNNNNNNNNNNNNNNNNNNNNNNNNNNNNNNNNNNNNNNNNNNNNNNNNNNNNNNNNNNNNNNNNNNNNNNNNNNNNNNNNNNNNNNNNNNNNNNNNNNNNNNNNNNNNNNNNNNNNNNNNNNNNNNNNNNNNNNNNNNNNNNNNNNNNNNNNNNNNNNUGCCUUAGUGGGAGAGAGGAGGAGGCGGCCAGGGGGGUCGGCCCCCCUUUCCUUCCCUCUCUCUCCCCCUUCCUUCCUCUCCUACUCCAACUUGGGAAGGGGAAUCCUACUCCCGCUGAGAGUAGGACUCCCCCCUUGGGCGCACCAUAGCGGGCCGGCCCUCCCCCUCCUACUCCUUUAUAUACGGGGAAGGGGGGCACCCCUUAGACACACAAGUUGACAAUUGUUUAGCCGUGUGCGGUGCCCCCUCCACAGUUACACACCUCGAUCAUAUCGUCGUAGUGCUUAGGCGAAGCCCUGCGCUGGUAACUUCAUCAUCACCAUCACCACGCCGUCGUGCUUACGAAACUCUUCCUCGGCCUCAACUGGAUCAAGAGUACGAGGGACGUCCUCAAGCUAAACGUGUGCUGAAUGCGAAGGUGCCAUACUUUAGUGCUUGGAUCAGUUUGAGCAUGAUGACGUUCGACUGCAUCAACCGCGUUAACUAAACACUUCCGCUUUCGGUCUACGAGGGUACGUGGACACACUCUCCCCUCUCGUUGCUAUGCAUCACAUAGAUAGAUCUUGCGUGAUCGUAGGAAUUUUUUUGAAAUUAAUCCGUUCCCCAACAGCACCGCCUAGACGGCGCUGGAGCCCUGGCGCCCUGCUCGGUCACGAGGAGGAAAGGCCAUCCAGUAUGCAUCCGAGAACGCCGCACGGCGCCGGACUCCUCCAUGCUCGCCGCACCGCCCCUCCCUCUUCUCGUAUCAAAUUAAAUCUACCUUAAUCGGAGGAGUUUGCCCACAUGGACUAGUGGCGGUCUCUUAUUGGCCCUGCACAAUGUUUCCUACAGGGAGCCCUAUAGCUGAGCCGUACCCCGAGCAAAUGCACAGAGGGAUUGACCGGGAUCGCAUACACUGAGCAGAGCCCCGACCAUCAUGGAUGAAGCCACAAGGCGAGGACCAGGAGACCGGCUGCACGUCCCCACGCUACACAGCAACCGAGCCUCGGAUUGGAGGCCAGCAGCAAACGAUGACCCUUCAACGGUGAUGAAGACGUGAUGAUCCAUCGAGGAUAUUCACCAACUCGAGGAAGAGAGGCCCCGCCGCCGCCAUGGGGCUUUGCCCCGGCGCUACCAGCCGGCGACGGCGAGGAGGAUGGCCGAGGAGGGGGCUUGUUGAGGGAGGUGAGGAGCGCCGCCGCCCGUGUCGCGUGAACCAAACGCCAUGUGUGCACUUGUACGCAAUGAGGAUGUUGUCUAUUAUCAAACGCCCGGGAACAAAAGCACCAGAAGCAUGAUCUUUAGCCUCCUAGCCAACACCUUUGCCGCCAGUUUGUAUAGUACAUUACAUAGGCUUAUCGUCCAGAAUUGAGAGAACAACUCUGGUGCCUUGACUUUAGGGAUCAAAACGAACACGAUACUGUUAAAGUCCGUUGGGAAUUCUUUGCCAUUUAAAAAAAACCACUGUCGAACAAGCCUCAUUUUUUUAUUAUAAAAGACCAAUGUCUUUGAUAAAAUAGGGCUGGUAAUCCAUCCGGUCCCGGAGCUUUUGUAGGACCCAUUUGGAAGAGAGCCCUUUCGAUCUCCUCACUCGUCCAAUUCGCCAUCAGCUUGGCGUUCAUACCAGUGGAGACCGGGGUCUGAACAUGUUGCAGUAACGGAAGUUAGUUGCACCCUCGGAUAUGUAGAGCUCCCUAUAAAAAUCCCAUGCCACGACACGCAUCUCAGCGUACGUUGAUGCGUAGCUACAUCAGGCUUCUUCAGCUUCAGAGCAUCUCCAACAGGUGCGCUAUUUUAGCCGAUCGUUGAAAAAACUGCUUUUUUAUGCGCACGGAGUCGAAACGGACGCUCCAGCAGCCGCGCAAAAAAUCACGUGCAUGCAGUAUAAUGGGUUCAGCGCGUGGAGGAAAAUGGCAUCACGCGCCGCUUAUUUCAUGCACCCACUCCCGCGCACCGCGCUGCCGUCGGCAAAAUUUGACCGAUAGAAGGUCGCGUCGACAUCCCCCAACCCCUUCCUACACCCGCGACCCCUCCGCCGCCGCCGCCGUAAACCCCAGCGCGGGGUUGAGCUUCGGCUUCGCCGCCGAUGGCCCUCUUCCAAGCACUGGUCUCGUGCGCGGCCUCUUCAUGGCGCCACGGACGACCUCGCAGGGUGGUGUUGUGUCGCUGCCCGCCGUGAAGCCAUGGGCCUCCCUCUCCAAGCGACCGAAUGCGGCGGCUGCGGCGGCGGGCAAGGUGUUUGGGAAGAAGAACAAGGCGGAUGGUUCUUCUAGGCGGACGAAGAAGAACCUUGCAGGGCGUCCGGCCAUGCCUCCGUUGACCAAAGCGCCGGAGAGCUCGCAAUUUGUUGCGCUGGAGGCUGAUGUGCAUAAGGUGUUUGAUGAAAUGCCCACAAGGUAUGACCCCCCCCCCCUUUGUUGGUGUUUUUUACGUAAAUGUAUACAUGUGGACAGCUUAGUUUUCUUCUACAUACUUUGUAGUUGCAAUGAUGACACAUAUAUGUCAACUAUGGGUGUUGGCUCCAACAAUUCUCAUUGGUCUCAAACCGAUGAAGUGCAUGAAGAUGAUCAUAUUGAGUGGGAGGUGGACAAGGAUGGUGAGGGUAUCGUCGAUGCACCGAAAGAAAGAGCGGGAAACUAGACCAUGGACGAAGACAUCUUGCUAUGCAAUACAUGGUUGCAUGUGUCUAUGGAUGCCAACGUUGGAGGGGACCAAACUAGAGAUGCAUAUUGGGAUCGGAUGAAGGAGCACUUUGAUUUACACAACAAGAGUGGAAUUGAUCACCCAAGUAGAUUUUUUUGCUCCCAGUGGUCGACAAUCAACAAAGACUAUCAAAGGUGGGCGGAGGCAAUUAAGGUGGUUGAUGUCUACUACACAACCUUCUUCUUGUAGACGUUGUUGGGCCUGCAAGUGCACAGGUUUAUAGGACAGUAGCAAAUUUCCCUCAAGUGGAUGACCUAAGGUUUAUCAAUCCGUAGGAGGCGUAGGAUGAAGAUGGUCUCUCUCAAACAACCCUGCAACCAAAUAACAAAAAGUCUCUUGUGUCCCCAACACACCCAAUACAAUGGUAAAUUGUAUAGGUGCACUAGUUCGGCGAAGAGAUGAAGAUACAAGUGCAAAAUAGAUGGUAGAUAAAGGUUUUUGUAAUCUGAAAUAAUAAAAACAGCAAAGUAGCGAGCAGUAAAAGUGAGCAUAAACGGUAUUGCAAUGGUAGGAAACAAGGCCUAGGGUUCAUACUUUCACUAGUGCAAGUUCUCUCAACAAUAAUAACAUAGAUAGAUCAUAUAACAAGCCCUCAACAUGCAACAAAGAGUCACUCCAAAGCCACUAAUAGCGGAGAACAAACAUAGAGAUUAUGGUAGGGUACGAAACCACCUCAGAGUUAUUCGUUCGGAUCGAUCUAUAAAAGAGUUCGUACUAGAAUAACACCUUAAGACACAAAUCAACCAAAACCCUAAUGUCACCUAGAUACUCCAUUGUCACCUCAAGUAUCCGUGGGCAUGAUUAUACGAUAUGCAUCACACAAUCUCAGAUUCAUCCAACCAACAUAAAAGUACUUCAAAGAGUGCCCCAAAGCUACUACCGGAGAGUCAAGAACGUGUGCCAACCCCUAUGCAUAGGUUCAUGGGCGGAACCCGCAAGUUGGUCACCAAAACAUACAUCAAGUGGCACAUGAUAUCCCAUUGUCACCACAGAUAAUCACGGCAAGACAUACAUCAAGUGUUCUCAUAAAGACUCAAUCCGAUAAGAUAACUUCAAAGGGGAAACUCAAUUCAUCACAAGAGAGUAGAGGGGGAGAAACAUCAUAAGAUCCAACUACAAUAGCAAAGCUCGGGAUACAUCAAGAUCGUGCCAUAGAACACGAGAGAGAGAGAGAGAGAGAGAGAUCAAACACAUAGCUACUGGUACAUACCCUCAGCCCCGAGGGUGACCUACUCGCUCCUCCUCAUGGAUAGCGCCGGGAUGAUGAAGAUGGCCUCCGGUGAUGGGAUCCCCCUCCGGCAGGGUGCCGGAACAGGGUCCCGAUUGGUUUUUGGUGGCUACAGAGGCUUGCGGCGGUGGAACUCCCGAUCUAUCUUCUGUUCUAGAAGUUUUAGGGUAUGUAGGUAUAUAUGGGUGCAAGGGAUACGUCGGUGGAGCUACAGGGGCCCCACGAGGCAGGGGGCUCGCCUAGGGGGGGUGGGCGCGCCCCCACCCUCAUGAGCACCUCCCGUAUCUUCUGACGUGGGGUCCAAGUCCAUCAGGUGGGUUUCCUUCCAAAAAUAACUUCUCCAGUUGAUUUCAUUCCGUUUUGACUCUGUCUAAUAUUCCUUUUCCUCGAAACACUGAAAUAGGCAUAAAACAACAAAUCUGGGCUAGGCCUCCGGUUAAUAGGUUAGUCCCAAAAAUAAUAUAAAAGUGGAUAAUAAAGCCCAAUAUUGCCUAAAACAAUAGAUGAAGUAGCAUGGAGCAACCAAAAAUUAUAGAUACGUUGGAGACGUAUCAGUGGUUGACACGAUAAACCCAAGUGGCACUAAUGAUAGAGAUAGGGUAAGUGUCAUUUCUUUAUGUUCCUUCCAUGUUCAUGCUUCUUUUUUGGUGUUCAAGUGCUAACUUGUUCUUUUGUUUGUAGCUCACUAUUGCAUAAAACUUAUUUCAAGGAGAAGAGAAGAAGACCAAGAAAGGGAAGGUCAAGAAAAGGAGACCAUUUGUGUUGGCCCAUUUCUACAAUGUGUUGAAGGAUGAAGAGAAAUGGAAGCCCCGUGAUGACCAAGAGGAGAGCAAGGAAAGCAAGACAACUAUUGAUUUGGAUGAUGAUGAUGAGGAGGAGGCAUCAAGUGAUGGCGGCAAGAGAAGCCCUACACCAAACUCGGUUGCCUAAUCCAAACCCAAGAGACCAAAUGGAGGCAAGAAAGAUGCAAAAGAAAAGAAGAAGAAGAGAGGAGAUGAUGAUUUAAAUAAUGGUGUGGAAGCUAUUGUGAAGGCACGAAAGGAAGCAAACGAGGUGAGGAUGAUGGCAAGGAGCCAAGAUGUGGCGGCCAAGGAGAGGAGGUUGGCAGCCAAGGAGAGGAGGGUGGCGGCCGAGGAUAGGAAGGUGGUAUUGGAGGAGAAGAAAUUGGCCAUGGAGUAGCGAUCUAGAUUAUUGGAAUGGGAGAAGCACUUGUUCUUCAUGGACACAUCUACACUCGAUGAUAGGCAAAAGGAGUACGUCAUUCUUUCCCGUGAAGAAGUCCUGGUCCAAAAAAGAGCCAUGACCAUGGGAUGCAUGUGAGCUACCAAUGGGAGGCAUGGGUGGCUUCAGAGCUACCAUGGGAGGCAUGAGUUUUGAGUCUCUCAUAGGAGGCAUGGGAGCACCUCCGGGUGACAUUGGUGGACGCAUGUCUUCCGGUGUGCCUCACAUACCUUCGCAUUAUUUCACUGGAGAUCUCGUGAACACCAUCCGAGCUCCCAAUGACGAUGCGGCGCUUGAAAAUGAAGAGGAGGAAGAAUCGUCUUCGGAUGAGGAGGAAGAAUCAGAGGAAGAAGAGGAUGAUGAUGAGUGAUGUGGCAUGAUUGUUGAUGUGCCAUUUAUUUGUGCAAACUUUUAUUUGUGAACUUGGUUGGGUGAUUUUGAACUAUUUCAUGCAAGCGAACUAUGCUAUGUCUCUGUUUUGCACAUUUGUUUAUUGUUUGAAACAUCAUCAUAUUGUCAAAUGGACAUGUAAAAAUCAUAUUUGCAAGCGUCGGCUGCUUGCGCGCGAUGUAAAUUAGCAUGCCUUCUGGAGCUGCUGGCGCAUGCCAUAUUUUGCAGCGGCCGCUGGCGCCAGCAUCCUGCUUCGCGCAAAAAAAACGCUAUUUCAAUGUUGUAAAAAAGUUUUUGAGCGCUGUGCGGUUGUGCACCUGUUGGAGAUGGUCUUAGAAUCGAUUUUUACAGUGCAUAUGUGAUGCCCUAUUCUGCAAGAACUUGGUGUUGCGGUCGCCCCUCUGGCCACGACGUCAUUUCUUCCCUGUCGUAGAGCUCAUGCAUGUCUUUUCAAGCCACACCGAACCGAAGUUAGUACGUACGUGCCCAGUUCUGCAUGUUUUUUUCUGAGGGAAAUAGCCAAGUUUUAUUCAUCGAAAACCACAUGAAGUGGGAUAAAGUUCAGGUCGUGGGGUUGGCCAAACCAAACACGGCGCCCCGGACCCAGGGAAAGAGAAUGCUUGGCUAACUUAUGAGCUUCUAAAUUGUUCAAACGACCUUCAAAACAAAAAUUACAUAAAAAAGAUAACUGAUGGACUCUAAUCUCCUUAAUGAUGGCACCAUAAGGUCCAUUGCUGUCGUUGUGGAUAGCCCUUACCACCUCCUUUGCGCCAGAAGAUAUGACAAACUGAUUAAUAUGAAGAUCCGCUGCGAGUGCCAUGCCUUCCCGACACGCAAUUGCCUCCAGCGUUGCAGGAUCAUCCACUCCUCUGAUUACCAAGGCAGAGCUACCGAGGAACGUCCCCAUAUUAUCUCUGCGCACCGCCACAGCUGUCCCCCUGCUUCCUAUUCUGCACCCCGCAUCGACGUUAAUUUUUGCAAAGCCUGCAGGAGGAGAUUUUGGUUUCCUUCCGCCGGAUAGUACCACCCUGGGUUCAGUCCGAUCCGGUGCCUGGCUCCCUUUGAUCACCUCCAGCUCAUUUAUGUAUCUGUCAACAAACGACAUGAUCGCAUGUGGGCUCUGAAACGUGCCUUCAUGAAUGGCCUUACGCCUUGCUGCCCAGAUCGCCCACAACGUCACCGAGAGCUUAACAAAUUCAUCUUGAGUCAGAAGCUCCAUUAGAGUGAAGAGCCAAUGUUUAGCCUUUGGCUUGGUUGUUGCUGUCAUUUUUUGUAACAGAUCUCCUUCUACGAGCGCCCAGGUACACCGAGCCAUUGUGCAAUCUAGGAGAGAAUGUCUCCACGAAUCUGGUGCCCCGCAUAAACCACAUGAACUUGAUUGUGCCAUAUUUCUUCUAGCCCGGACAUCAUUUGUUAGGAUGGAAUGCUUUGACAGUCUCCAAAGAAACAUCCUGACCUUUCCCAGCACUCUAGUUUUCCACAAACUCUUCCAAGAUCUUUCCUCCAUCGACGCACUUGAGGUGCCCGAGUUAUUCUCCAGCCAUGCUUCUCUUCUAGCUCGGGUAGCCACAAGCAUGUGAUAUGCCGAGCGGACCGAGAAGAGGCCAUUCUUUUCAUAAUGCCAACUCCAAAAAUCUGGGAUAUUGCGAGUGCAUAAGGGGAUACGAAGGAUAACUUGAGUGUCCAUCGGCAUAAACACAGACUCCACUUUUUCUCUAUCCCAAACAACCGAUGUGCUAUCUAUGAGCUCAGACACGAGCAGCGCAGGUUUUGGGUGAUACACCCAUAAGGUUUCAUCAUCUCCUCCCUAGGCAACCAGUUAUCUUCCCAAAUCCUUGUCGUCUCUCCAUUGCCAACGCGUUUAAUUAGGCCAACUUUCAAUGUGUCACGGCCCUCUACAAUGGCUCUCCAAAUCUGGCUGGGGUGAUUCCCUAGAGGUGCUUCGAAAAUCGAACAACUUGGAUAAUAUAUGCUUUUUAAAAUGCGCGCGCUGAGAGAGUCCGGCUCCUGCAACAGCCUCCAUGCCUGUUUGGCUAACAUAACCAAGUUAAAUAGUUCAAAGUCCUUAAAACCGAGACCCCCCAUGCCUUUUGGUUGAGUCAUAGUUUUCCACGAAACCCAGUGGGGUUUAUGCUUUCCUUCUUUGACCCCCCACCAAAAUUUCUGGAUUAACAUAUUUAGGUGUUCGCAUAGGCCUCGUGGCAAUUUGAAAUAGGACAUAGAGAAGACCGGAACUGCUUGGGCAACAACCUUGACCAAAACCUCUUUACCUGCAGAAGACAUUGUGCUCUCAAUCCAACCUUGCACUUUGCUCCAGAGGCGGUCUUUCAAAUAUUUGAAGGCACCAUUUUUUGAUGAUCCUAUGUCCGAGGGCAUUCCUAAAUAUUUCUCAUUUAGGGUCUCAUUUGGAAUUUGCAUCACUGCCUUCACCUUUGUCCAUAUACUAUCAGGAACCACUUUGCUGAAAUAAACCGAUGACUUGUUGUAGUUAAUACGUUGUCCUGAAGCCGAAUAAUUCCUAUCCAGUACUAGGUUCACCUCGGUAGCACCCAUACUAUUUGCCUUGAAGAACAGCAGGCUGUCAUCUGCGAAUAAUAAAUGAUUCACCUUUGGUGCCGAAGGCGCCACUUGUAAACCACUCAUGUUGGAUGACUCACUUCUUGAUUUUAACAGGCACGAAAGGCCCUCUGCUGCUAACAAGAACAAGCACGGAGAUAUCGGGUCCCCUUGUCUGAUUCCACAUGUUGGUGUAAACUCCUCCAACCUCUUCCCAUUAAACUAGACUGAAAAAGUGACUGAAGAUACCAGCCCUAUAACAAUAUCCACCCAUCUUUGAGAGAAACCAAGUUUCAGCAUGAUUGAUUGCAAGUACUCCCACUCCAGCCUGUCAUAAGCUUUCAUCAUAUCAAGUUUCAGUGCACAUGAUUGAUGUUUCUUUGCUUUGUUCCUCUUCAUGAAGUGCAAACACUCGUAAGCAGUCACAAUGUUGUCAGUUAUCAAUCUCCUUGGAAUGAAAGCUGACUGCUCCUCGGAGAUGAUCUCGGGUAAAAUGAUUUUCAGUCGAUUAGAUAUUACCUUGGAUGCAAUUUUGUAGAGGAUGUUGCAAAGGCUGAUGGGCCGGAACUGUGACAAUAACGUCAGAUUUUUCACCUUUGGGAUCAACACAAGAAUUGUCUCGUUAAUGCUCCUUGCUGACUCCCUGCCCUCCACAAUAUCAAGCACUGCUUUUGUUACAUCCUCACCACAAAUCUCCUAAUGGCGUUGAAAAAAGUGAGCUGGGAACCCAUCCGGUCCCGGCGACUUUGUAGGGAACAUUUGGAAAAGGGCUUUUUUGACCUCUACUUGGGUGUAGGGCUCGUUCAACAUGUCAUUCACGCCCUGUGUAACUUUGCGAGGCACGGUUGAGAGGACGCUCUCCAUGUCUUGCACCCCCUCAGAGGUGUACAAGUUGUUAUAAAACACCGUGGUCAUUACUUCCGUCUCAUCUCUAUCCUCAGUGAUCUGCCCCGUCUCCUUUUGUAGUGCCCUGAUCAGAUUUUUGCGUCUCCUUCUGCUUGCACGUAAAUGAAAAAAGUACGUGUUUUUAUCUCCGUGCAUCAACCACUCAAGCCUUGCCCUCUGUCGCCAUAAAAUUUCCUCGCGAUGAUACAGCUCCACCAGAUUUUCUAUUAUUUUCAACUCCAAGUGAUUGGGACCAGAUCUACCUGGGAGGCCGCGCAACUCCUGUAGUUGUCGCUGCAGCUGAGCGAUCUGUCACCUGACGUUACCAAAAUGCUCGCGAUCCCAUGCAGAAAGGUCCCCCGACACUCUCCGCAGCUUCUGUCGGACCUGCUCCAGCGGUCGGGCCUGGUCCAGAUUCGGUGAGGCCCACCCCUCGCCAAUAACAUUCGCAUGCAUGGGAUCCCGCUCCCAACACAUCUUGUACCUGAAUUGCCUCGGUCCUCGGGAGCAUGCAUGCAACGUGUUGAGUUGGAGGAAUAUUGGUAUAUGAUCAGAAGAAGCAGCCUUCUUGUGUUCUAACGAUGCCAGUGGAAAAGCCAGUGACCAUGCUGGAUUCGCAACACAUCUAUCCAGUCGUAGUCUGGUGUAAGUUCCCCCUGUCACCUUUUUUUUCAAAAGUCCAAUUGAUCCCCUUGAAACCUAUAUCUGACAAGCCGCACAUUUCAAGUGCAUCUCUGAACGCAUCCAUCUGUGCCUGGCUUCUGUUUGCCACUCCAUCACGCUCAUGCGAGUAUAACACCUCGUUGAAAUCACCCAUAACCAGCCAUGGCAAAUCGUUGGCUCCAACAAUGCUACGCAACAUGUCCCACGUUUUGUAUCUUUCCGAAACUUGGGCUUCCCCGUAGACAAAAGUGACCCUUGAUUUUAUGUUAGCCAAAUCAUCAAUCACAACAUUAAUAUGAUACUUAGAGUAGCCAUCAACCACAAGCUUUAUUUCAUCAUUCCAAAAGAUACCAAGUCCACCACUUCUGCCAGAACUACUAACUGCAAAACUAUUGGUAAAACCUAAUGAGCCUGCUAAAUUCUCUACUUGAGAGCCAUCUAUCUGAGUUUCAACAAUGCAUGAUAUAGAGGGGCAAGUUGCCUCGUUAGAUCAUGAAGCUCUCGAACUGUCGCGGGUUUGCCAGCCCCACGACAGUUCCAACAUAGUAGACUCAUUGCGCAUGGCGCGACUCCCCAUGGGAGCCCGCCAAACACGCAUCAUUGUUUAUAGUCAGGACUGGGUUCUUAACCAUUGCAUUAUUUGGGGCAGGUAGUGACAGUUUAUUCCUCUUUGGCUCCUGCUUUGAAGGAGAACUCGCAGGUGCAUCUUGGUUUUGCUGCAAGAGGAGAGCGUUGCUUGGCUGGACAGAAGGCGUGGAACUGGCAGAGCCCUUCGGGUCCAAAACCACAAGAGAGCCCCUCUUCCUGUUGUUGUCAGCAUCAUCCAUAGCAACAUCCCCCUUCAUACUUUCUGGAUCAUCCUGCUCAUUCCACAUCUCCUGGCUCCUCUGGGAUGGUGCACAGCCUCGGCCGCGACCUUGUCCUGAUCUGCCGCGUCCUCUUCUUUCUCCCGGUCCCCAUCCAGGUCCUCUAAACCACGAAGCCCGAAGAUUCUUGUAGACCAAAGCUUCAGGGGGGUGAACACCGUCACCAUGCUCUUUAAAUUGGUGGCCAAGGUGGCCGCAUACGGCGCACCAGUCAGGUAAGCGCUCGUAUUUCACCAGAAAUUUUUUACUUUUACCUUCUUUCACCAUCGAGACUGCAUUUUUUAGUGGGCGGUGGACGUUGAUCUUGACCCUUACCCUGACAAAAUUACCUUCAAAAUCUUGUGACUUCAGUUCAACGUAUAUAUACUGCCCAAUCUUCCCUGCUAGAGCUUUGAUCAUCGGGAAAUAACCAUCAGGGAAGUCGUGAAUUUGAGCCCAUAUAUCCAACAUGUCCAGGUUUACCUCUGAUGGCUUAGUAAAACCAUCAUACUCUGUAAGCACCACAGCGUUCCCUUUGAAGGUCCAAGGCCCCUCCACCAUGACACAUUCCCAAUCACCCAGGCAAGAGAACUGCAUUAUGUAGAGAUUUUCUUCGAGCGGACGGAUCUUCACCUCCUGCGCCAGAUCCCAGGAAACCCUCAUAUUGCGAAAGAACCAGUACUGGCUAUAGCUCUUUAGUGUGUGAACUCUUGCGACUGCCAUCCACCGCGCAACCGCGUCCGCUGGAACAUCUUGCUCUUCAAAAACCACAUCAUCCAAGUCAUCCUCAGUGAUGCUCAGAUUCUUCAUCAUCUCCUCAACAUCCUUAGCCUCCGCAUCAGAACCCGACGCGUGGCUUGCCAUAUCUCCAAACCCUAACCUGACGACAAUAACGGAUCACCAGGUUUUGAUGAAACCCUAACAACCUUCUUGACAGCAAAAACCCUGCCGAGGUUAAGACCGUGGGCGAUACAAGAUCGCCCUUUGAUCGAUCCUAGCCUGGCCGGGGAUCAGAGAGAGACGGGCGAGGGGAUGAGUUGGACUCAACGGCGGCUCGAGGAGUCGCCGAGAGGAAACAGGAACCCUAAGAGGAGGGGAUACAGACAUAGGUUUUUCCUUUGUGCCCAGUUCUGCAUGUGCUUGGACACACCUUUUAACCUGCUACAAGGAGGCCCGUGAGCCCACUAUUUCCUGCGUCGUGCAUGCAUGUCCCAUGCAUGAUGUAGCAGUGGGAUCCUAUACAGCGCGUAGGUCGCCCGCUAGCAACAUAGCGCCCCCCAGCUCCCCGUUUAGCGUAUCGGACAGCCAGGUUUAUUUUGCCACCGGUUUUGGAAAGGUUCUAGAACCUUCCCAGAACAUUUUUUGUGUUUUUAUGUUUUAUAUACUGGUUUUUCAUUUUUAUUUUCUUUUCAAGUUUUCUUUUCUUUUUCUUUCUUUAUUCCUUUCCCUUUUUAUUUUCUAUAUUCUUCCUCUUCAUUUUUGACUAUUUUUGGCAUUUUUAUUUUCAAAUUCGUCAACACCCUUUUUUCAUCGAAUUCUAAAAAUGUUCAACCAUGUAAAAAAAUGUUCAACAAUCCAGAAAGUGUUCAUCGAAUUCAAUUUUUUGUUCAUCAGAUUAAAAAAAUGUUCAUAAAAAUUCAAAAUUUGUUCAUCGACCUAAAAAAAUGUUCAUCGGAUUCUUUUCUUUUGUUCAUUGUUUUCAAAAAAUGUUCACUGAAUUACAAAUCUGUUCAUUAUUUGUUCAAAAAAAUGUUCAUCAAAUUCAAUUUUUGUUCAAGAUUUUUUCACAAAAUGUUCUUGAAUACAAAUUUUGUUCAUCAAAUUAAAAAAUGUUCAUCAAAUGCCAAAUUUGUUUAUAGAUGUUCAAAAUAUGUUCAUCAAAUUCAAAAAGAUGUUCAUUCCUUUGAAAUCACGAACAUUUUUUGAAUUCAAGAAAUGUGUUGGAAUUUGGUGAACAUUUUUUAACUCCGUCAGCAUUUAUCAUUUUGCAAACAUUUUUUUCAAAUCAUGAACAAUUUUCGAAUUCACAAACAUUUCAUAAGUUGUAACUUUAUUGAAAUCACAAAUUAAUAUUACAAUGGAAAACAAUUUUAAAAAUAGAAAAAAGAAAAGAUGCUUCCGCUUUCCCUCCUCACACAUGGGCCAGCCCAUGAGGCAGCGCGGGUGAGCGAGGGGUACGCGCUCCGUCGUUCACUGGCGCGUACAACGCUAAAUAGGAGGUCUCAAUGUAGCAGGUCAUUGAAUCCCGGAUGCAUGGCCCGACCAUCUCUUCAAAUCGAAAGCUGCCCAUAUGGUCUAUCAUCCUGGCGUCUGAACUCUGAAAUACUUUUGGAAAGACAAUUAUGGUUAGUUUUCGGAUAAGUACGCUCGAAAAUCUACAAAUAGGAGAUGUUUUAUUCUAUUUUGAUUACAUUUGGAUAGACAAUUAUUACUGUUAAUAUCAGCCUUCGUAUAUAGAUAAACUAAGACAAUCUAUAAAUAGAAGAUUUCUUAUUCUGUUUUGAUUACGUUUGGAUAGACAAUUAUUAUUAUUAUUAGUAUCAGCCUUCUUAUAUAGAUAAAUAUAAGGCAAUCUAUAAAUAGAAGCUUUUUAUUCAGUUUUGAAUACGUUUGGAUAGACAAUUAUUAUUAUUAGUAUUAACCUUCGUAUCUAAAUAAAUCUAAGACAAUCUACAAAUAGAAGAUUUUUCAUUCUGUAGACAAUUAUUAUUAGUAGUAUCAGGAUAAAUACAUUUGAAAUACCAUGUGAUACAUGUGGAAUAUAUCUAGACAUGUUUUAGUGUUAGAUACGUAGAUACCUUCGUAUCUAGAUAGCCAUUUUUUUAGGACGGAGGUAACAUAUAAAGAGGGGUCUCGCAUGCACUCAUGGGCAGCACGUAAAACAAAGUGGGCUUCCCUACACAACGAUAACAAGGCAAGCUACCUCACAAGCCUGUGUGCAUUUAGCAAGCAGCAGUCUCCACUCUCCACAAUGCUGGCUUGCUGCUGCUUUGUGUUCCAGCUGCUCAUUGUAAUAACGCUCAUACACCUUGCCAUGACCAAGAGCAAGGUCCGCAGUGGCACGUGCUCAUCGGGGAUGGUCCCGCUUCCGCUUCCACCGGGACCAUGACCGUGGCCACUGGUGGGUAGCCUGCCCGAGAUGGUGCUCAAUAAGCCGGUGUUCCAUUGGAUCCAUCACGUGAUGAAGGAUAUGGGCACCGACAUCGCUUGCUUCCGCCUCGGUGGCGUCCACGUCGUCCCGAUCACAUGUCCCAAGAUCGCAAGGGAGGUGCUCAAGAAGAAAGACAAGAACUUCUUGUCCCGCCCACUCACCUUGGCCUCCGACGCCAUCAGCUGUGGGUACAAGGACGUCGUGCUCACGCCGUUCGGCGAGCAGUGGAUGAAGAUGCGCAAGGUGCUCACCUUUGAGAUCAUCUGCCCCUCCCGCCACAAGUGGCUCCAUGACAAGCGCGCCGACGAAGCUGACAACUUGACGCGCUACAUCUACAACCUCACCGCCGGGGGGUCAUCUUCAACGUUGGGACUAGGCGCCAACGUCGAUGUCAGGCACGUCACGCGGCAUUACUGCGGCAAUGUCAUCCGCCGACUUGUCUUCGGCCAACGGUACUUCGGGGAGCCUUAGCCGGACGGCGGGCUGGGGCCGAUGGAGGUGGAGCACAUGGACGCUUCCUUCACCCUCCUAGGGCUCCUCUUCUCCUUCUGCAUCAGCGACUACCUCCCGUGUCUACUUGGCCUAGACCUCGACGGCCACGAGAAAAUUAUUAAGGAGGCCAACACAAAAGUGGACAGACUGCACAACAUGGUCAUUGAAGAGCGUUGGAGGCAGUGGAAGAGCGGCGAGAGGCAGGAUGGGGUCCAGGACUUCCUUGACGUUCUCAUCACGCUCGCCGAUGGUGACGACAAGCCGUUGCUCAUCAUCGAUGAGGUCAAAGCACAGUGCAAGGUAAGAAAAAAUACUAUUAAUUAAUGAGAAAUUUUAAGAUGGUUCAAGGGCCUAGAUAGAAUUUAGUGACCAAUUACCUCAUAGUCCUACAAGGUAAUACGUCAUCCAUGAGAACACUCUUAAAUAGAUCUUAUACUGUAUUUCGCAGGUGUUAGAAAAGGAAAACAAUAGAAUAAGAAAUUAUGAACUGAUAGUUUAAACAUAUCAUUAUUGCAUUUUUCUACCAUUUUGAUGUGAUUUCAACUUAAACUGUAUUUAAAAUUCCAAUUAUUCAAUGUAAUAUAUCUUUAUGCAAAUAUAUAAAUUGUAUUAACUUACAUUUAUCUCCAUGGAAUGCAUGUAGGACAUAAUAUUAGUGGCCAUAGAUAACCCGUCAAACGCAGUGGAGUGGGCGUUGGCGGAUAUGGUGAACAACCCAGAAUUGCUGGCCAAAGCGGUGGAGGAGAUGGAGCAGGUGGUCGGUCGCGAGCGACUGGUGCAAGAGUCGGACAUCAUGCAGCUCAACUAUCUCAAGGCGUGCAUACGUGAGGCAUUUCGCCUCCACCCAGUUGCUCCCUUCAACGUGCCGCACGUCGCAAUUGCCGACACCAUUGUUGCGGGCUACCGCGUGCCCAAGGGUAGCCACGUCAUCCUCAGCCGGCUGGCCCUGGGCCAGAACCCCACCGUCUGGGAUGAGCCACUCCACUUCAAGCCAGAGCGCCAUAUGGGAGACAACAUUAAUGUGGUGCUUACUAAGAGCGAAUUGCGGUUCAUCUCCUUUAGCACUGGACGGCGGGGAUGCAUCGCGGCAUCACUAGGAACAACUAUGAGUGUCAUGCUCUUCGGCAGGCUCCUGCAUGGCUUCACCUGGACCAAACCGGCUGGGGUGUCGGCCAUCAAUCUCCACGAGUCCAAGAACGACCUCUUCAUAGAGAAACCGCUAGUGCUACAUGUUGAGCCACGUCUUGCAGCGCACCUCUACCCUCUCAUGCACCGUUGAGCAAAUAACGAGCUAUGAAUCACCAAUAAGGCGAGUAUGCUAUUUUCUUGGUGAAUCUAUACUUACUAAUAAAGGAAGGCGAUAUUCUUAUUUUCGUCCCGCUUUGUUUCGUUCCACUUUGAUUCAUUUUCACGUAUGCUAGCUAUUUUGGUUUUGUCCGUUUCACGUACG
rnacentral:lncRNA from 1 species